GCAGUCGUGGCCGAGUGGUUAAGGUGAUUUACUAGAAAUCCAUUGCGGUCUCCCCGCACAGGUUCGAAUCCUAUCGACUGCG
rfam:Ixodes scapularis strain Wikel colony gcontig_1108378888140, whole genome shotgun sequence.